rnacentral:rRNA from 1 species
AUUGAACGCUGGCGGCAGGCCUAACACAUGCAAGUCGAGCGAGCGGCGGACGGGUGAGUAAUGUCUGGGAAACUGCCUGAUGGAGGGGGAUAACUACUGGCAACGGUAGCUAAUACCGAAUAACAUCAGAUGUGGCCAGAUGUGAUUAGCUAGUAGGUGGGGGAAUGGCGCACCUAGGCGAGGAUCCCUAGCUGGUCUGAGAGGAUGGCCAGCCACACUGGAACUGAGACACGGGCCAGACUCCUACGGGAGGCAGCAGUGGGGAAUAGUGCACCAUGGGCGCAAGCCUGAUGCAGCCAUGCCGCGUGUGGGAAGAAGGCCUUCGGGUUGUAAAGCACGUUCAGCGGGGAGGCGUUACCCGCAGAAGAAGCACCGGCUAACUCCGUGCCAGCCGCCGCGGUAAUUCC